rnacentral:sRNA from 1 species
AUACAUAACAACAAAAA